GUUGUGCAGUGUUGGUGCAGUUAGUCGAAAAAAGUGAUUUUCAUCAAGAAAACAACAUAAAACCAAGCAGCGGGCGUUCAAAUUGAGAAAAGCUGAUCAAAAAUUAAAAUAAAUUGGCUGUGGCGGAAAAGUGCGACUGGAAGCAACACACCGAACACAACUCGAACCCUACCGACGCCGCCGCCUUUCGCAAAGCUACUUCGCACACGUGCGAAAGAUAAAACAUAUUCUCCUCCUUCGUGGCGCAAUCUCUUCCACUUUUCACGCACGAGCGAAAUUUGUCUCACGCCGGCGGACAUCAGUGUCACGCCACUUUCCGGUUCGCCUUUCUGCGAGCGUGCACCCGAACGCAAAUAUGGAAAUAAAACUCGCUCAAAAGAAAUGCGAAUGAUAUUGAUGUCGACUGAGAGAGUUUGUGCACUCGGUGAAGACUCAGUUGAAGAUGACGCAGAGGGAGAGUUGGAGAUUUUGCAGUCUGUCCGUGGGGAAUAUGGGUGGAGCUGCCGCCGCGAACGUAAAUGUUUUAUAAAACGCGUCGCGUGACAAAUGCGCCACGGUGUGUAUACAUUCACGCACAUACACGAUUUGUCUUCCUUUUUUGGACUUUGAGCGCUCUCUGUGAGGGUGAGUUCCUUUUAGCGAGCACGUACCGGUGUCCUACGACGUUGUUACAAAUUAGGUUACCACUUCGCAAUUUGUGCGAAGUAUUAAAACCCGCAAAAGUCUUCAUAUCCUUUUCAUUCUUUGUGCUUUGGAACAUCGAUUGGAUCACUCGAGUUGAAAUUACUAAUGGUCUGGGACACCAUUCAGCGGAGUAUCUCAAGUUUGAUGAUUACCUUUGAAUCAAUUCGAACUUCUAUCGAAAGGAGAAUUCGAUUCGUGGCAGCGCUCCCAGUGGCGAGGCCCCUGGGACGCCGAGUCAGAUCUCGUCCGACGUUUGUUGAUCCAGACGCGGUGCUUUCAUAAUUAGAUAUGAUUUCUAAAGCUGCGCUUUCUUCGCCUCGCAGCGAGUAGUGGGUAAUGGGGUAAGUAAAUGACGUGCCACUUGUUUAAUUCUCGUUUCGAUGCGGGUGGGGCAAAGCCGGAAAUUUAUGUAAUUCCGAUUGCCGUUUGCGCUAUGUUGCGAAGUAUUUUCGUUGAAUUUGCAUUACGCCGGGGUGGAAGUAAUGCUUUGAUAGUAUGCAUUCGGGUAUUCGAGCAAAUGUUUCAUAGUAAUAUUACUAGUGAUCAAAUACAUCGUGUUUCCACAUAA